AGCAGGAAGCUACGAGGAAAGACUAUUUUGAACAGAGCAAGAAGUUAAAGAAUAUGUUCCUGGCGUACGAGAAGGACUCUGCUGACAUGCAAUCUUGACGGUGCUAUGAGCAGAUUCAGAAUCUGAAGUCUGAAGAGCCUGGACUUGAAGAAAAUAAUGAGCAAGUUGAAGCAACUAAAAAUCUUAGAGCACAAUUUGAAGCACAAGCGGAAUCUAUUCUCUAUUUGUUAAGAGUAAUUUUUAAGAUGUUUUUUUUAUACAUGCUUUAACUUUGUUUGCUCUUUUGUUAGGAGACAAAUGUAAUGUCAUACAAUGUAGAUGAGUAUAUUUGUUUUUCAAUAUGAUACUAUAGUUCUUUGUAAUUAACGAUGAAAUCUUAAUGGAAUGAUGAUUGUUUGUAUGUCCUCCAA